GCAAACUUGGUCAUUUAGAGGAAGUAAAAGUCGUAACAAGGUCUCCGUUGGUGAACCAGCGGAGGGAUCAUUAUCGAGUUCUAAACUCCAACCAUUGUGAACAUACCACUGUUGCUUCGGCGGGACCCGGCCUCGGCCGCCCCGCCGGAGGUCUCAAACUCUGUUUUCUAGCGAAUCUUCUGAGUUAUAUAUAAGCAAUCAAAACUUUCAGCAACGGAUCUCUUGGCUCUGGCAUCGAUGAAGAACGCAGC
rnacentral:misc_RNA from 1 species